GAUGAACGCUGCCAGAAUGCUUAACACAUGCAAGUCUUUGGCGAAGCUAUGCUUGCACAGCCUAGCCAAGGCGGACGGGUGAGUAACGCGUAAGGAACUUGCCCUGCAGUCAGGGAUAACAGACGGAAACGACUGAUAAGACCUGGUAAAGUCAGGCGGACUCAUGUCCAGCCUGAUGAAAAGAGAUGCUGCAGGAGAGCCUUGCGUCCUAUUAGCUUGUUGGUGGGGUAACGGCCCACCAAGGCGAUGAUAGGUAGCCGGCCUGAGAGGGUGGACGGCCACAAGGGGACUGAGAUACGGCCCUUACUCCUACGGGAGGCAGCAGUGGGGAAUAUUGGACAAUGGGGGCAACCCUGAUCCAGCAAUUCUGUGUGCACGAUGAAGGUUUUCGGAUUGUAAAGUGCUUUCAGCAGGGAAGAAAAAAAUGACGGUACCUGCAGAAGAAGCGACGGCUAAAUACGUG
rnacentral:rRNA from 1 species